UACGUAGGUCCCGAGCGUUGUCCGGAUUUAUUGGGCGUAAAGCGAGCGCAGGUGGUUUAUUAAGUCUGGUGUAAGGGCAGUGGCUCAACCAUUGUAUGCAUUGGAAACUGGUAGACUUGAGUGCAGGAGAGGAGAGUGGAAUUCCAUGUGUAGCGGUGAAAUGCGUAGAUAUAUGGAGGAACACCAGUGGCGAAAGCGGCUCUCUGGCCUGUAACUGACACUGAGGCUCGAAAGCGUGGGGAGCAAACAGG
rnacentral:rRNA from 1 species